rnacentral:tRNA from 1 species
GGUAGAAUGGCCGAAGGCCCAGGCGGUGGAUUGUAGCUCCAAUUAUAGAGGUUUAACUCCUCUUUCUAUCA